GUAAGCCUUAUGAAAUUUUCGAGUUGAACAUUUUUUUAAAAUUUUUUUCUGAUUUUUUAUUCUUUUUUUAAUUUAAAGCACUAUUUAAGUGAAAAGAAACUUAUUGCAACAAAUUCCCAUCAAAAUAUAUCACAUUUAAAAUUUUUGCUACAUUGCUCAAAAAUGAGGAAAAUUUUACAUUUUCUCAAACAGGGUAAGGAACUUGGUUCCUCGAAUAACUUCUGGCACAGACAUCUGAGGGCAUGGCUGUCCAAGAAGAAAAUGUAGCCAUUGGUGCCAUCUAUCGACCACAGGUUAAAGAUUGGCGAUUCGUUGGAUACCGACCGAGUUAUAGGCAAAAUUUGGUGCAAAAAUGAGGAAAAUUUUCAUUUUUUUUUUUUGAAUUUUUUGAUUUUUUUAUUAUUUUUCACUCUUUUUUUUAUUUCAAGCAUUAUUAGAGUGAAAAGAAACUCAUUGCAACCCAUUGGCAUUAAAAUAAAACAAUUUAAUUUUUUUUGCAAAAUUUCCCAAAAAAAUCGUAAGGGGUA